rnacentral:lncRNA from 1 species
CUCACCUGGCUCCAAGGAGAGCCAACUUCCCAAUGGCCACAGAGGCGCAGCUGGCAAGACUGGGUGAUGUUGGGCCGGGGGAGAUGUCCACAGCGCUCCGGGGGCACCGAGGAGCCACCCCCCCCAAAUUCCUGCCGGCACUGCAGCUGGCGGUGCUGGGUGCCGGGGCCACAGGAGCGGCUGCAGGAUGUCCACUCGCCAGCCUCCCAGCUGCAGGCACCAGCAGGGCAGGGAAGAGGCGGAGACAUAGAUGAGAUGUGUGGGGCUGCCGUGGCAGCAGAGAUGGAAGACACACUGGACGUGGGGGCCUCAGAGCCAGGAGAUGUUGCGUUGAGUGCAGAGUUCAGGACCCAGGGGGAUCCACAGCCCAGUUCCCAUUGAUGAUGGACCGGCCCCCAGGGCCACGAAGUGCUGCGGGUCAGAGACUCCACAGCCAUCAGGACGCCUGCCAGAGCCAAGGAUCCCAUCACAGCCGGGGCUCUGGAGAGAGUGAGUGAGAGCACAAAAACAGCCCCACCAUCCCCAGCCAGACCCAGGGACAUGGACAGGUGCCCGAUCAGAUCCUUCAGGCUCUGCUCAGCGCAGCUUGGCAGCCACCUGACCCCCAGUGAUGGCCUUCCCAGGGGAGUCCGGACAAAGCGUGUCUCCCACACCUCCUCCUCCCACCCCGACCCUUCUGCAGACCACUCACCACCUGUGCUGUCUCCUGACCCAGCCCCAGGGAGAAGAAAGAAGGCAUGGCGCAGGGGAAGCAGAGGGGCUGGAAGUCAUUCAGGGCUGGGAGUAAGCAGUAAGGUUUUACACUCGGGACUCAGCGAAAGGACAGCGUGCUGACUUCUGAGUCAGACUGAUCUGGAUUUGAACCUCAGCUCCAGCUCUUGCCAGCUAUGUGGUCUUCGACGAAUACUUCCACCCCUGUGUGGUGCAGUUUGCUCAUCUGCAAAAUGGGACUAAUCUAAUAUAUAUGAUGGGCUUGGA